rnacentral:lncRNA from 1 species
UGGGGAUUCCCGCGGCCUUGGCCGCUACCCGGCCUGCCCCGCGGCAAGAUGGCGGCGUGAAGGUGGCGGGCAGCGGCAGAAACUGAAGACUCAGGGGCCCCAGGGACUGGAAGAAAUCACAGUGCCCGCUUGGAAAGAAGAAGAGGUAGCGACUUGCCCCAGCUCAACCCCAGAGCGGCUCCGGAGUUGGGCUGCUCUCAACCAAGCUGUCUGUUUAUAUGGAGUGCCUGGAGGGCGUCUGCCAUGAGUCUGUCGCUAACCGUGCUAACCAGGAGAGCUGGCUGGUUGGGGAGAAGACACUAACCCUGAGCUGUUGGCUAGAGGAAGUGGAGGGGCCGUGGGAUGCAGAGAGCCGAGGGCUAACUCUGGGACAGCGGAACAGAGAGAGCUGCCGACGAUCAGACGCAGGUUG